rnacentral:tRNA from 1 species
CAAAUUAGAGCUUUAAUAAGUUUUUUAGUUACAUUAAAAAGUUAAUUGUUUUAAUCAAUUUAAUUUGA